AACGUAAAGAACCUGCCUCAUAGACUGGGACAACUAUUGGAAACGAUAGCUAAUACCGGAUAACAGCAUUAACUGCAUGGUUGAUGUUUAAAAGUUGGUUUUGCUAACACUAUGAGAUGGCUUUGCGGUGCAUUAGCUAGUUGGUGGGGUAAAGGCCUACCAAGGCGACGAUGCAUAGCCGACCUGAGAGGGUGAUCGGCCACACUGGGACUGAGACACGGCCCAGACUCCUACGGGAGGCAGCAGCA
rnacentral:rRNA from 1 species